rnacentral:lncRNA from 1 species
UCCGCUAGCACGUCGAUCGGUUAAUUCAAUAAAAUGGGAAUUAGCACUCGAUUUCGUCGGCACCAUGCAAUUAAACCAAUCCAAUUGUUUACUUAUUCAAUGAGACUGAGUUAAUUUGCAAGCUCACCCAACCUAUUUUAAUUUCAAAAUCUCAAGUGGAUGAAUCAGAAUCUUGAGAAAGUCUUUCAUUUGUCUAUCAUUAUAGACAAGCCCAUCCAUAUUAUUUAUUCUAUGGAAUUCGAACCUGAACUUUCUUUUCGAUUUUUAUUACGAUUCAUUAUUUGUAUCUAAUGGGCUCCUCUUCUUAUUUAUUUUUUAUUUCAAUUUCAGCAUAUCGAUUUAUGCCU